rnacentral:rRNA from 1 species
AAACUUUCAACAACGGAUCUCUUGGUUCUGGCAUCGAUGAAGAACGCAGCAAAAUGCGAUAAGUAAUGUGAAUUGCAGAAUUCAGUGAAUCAUCGAAUCUUUGAACGCACAUUGCGCCCCGUGGCACUCCGCGGGGCAUGCCUGUUCGAGCGUCGGU